GGAAUAUAUGCGAAUGGAAAGCAGGCGAGUUGCUAACUCGUUGCUGGUAACACAGUUGCGGGUUCGAGCCCCGUGUAUUCCG
rnacentral:tRNA from 1 species